UAGCCUACUGGUUAAGGCUAUGGAUCGUCAAUCCGGAGACGGCGGGUUCGAUUCCCGU
rfam:Aedes albopictus isolate Foshan contig89015, whole genome shotgun sequence.